rnacentral:tRNA from 1 species
GGCAAUGUAGCUCAGUGGUGGAGUUAACAUUCCACCUAGCCUAGCAUGCAUAAGGCCUUGGGUUCAAUCCCCAGCACUGCAA